rnacentral:tRNA from 1 species
UUUUCAAACUAGAUGCAUAAGUUGGUCAUAUCGAAAUCGGGGGUAGGAAGCUCGUACUCAUAAAAAUACGACGGAGA